UUUUAUUUACGAAUAUGCUAUUGGCACCGGGUACCAAUAGUCUCUUUAUAAUAAUGUGGCUAAUGGCACCGGGUGCCAAUAGUCUCUUUAUUAUACUGUGGCUAAUGGCACCGGGUGCCAAUAGUCUCUUUAUUAUACUAAUGCUAAUCGCACCCGGUGCCAUUAGCCACAGUAUUAUAAAGAGACUAUUGGCACCCGGAAAAAUUAAAAUUAAAUAAAAAAUCUGGAUAUUUUGAAAAUUAGACUGGUUUUGUACACAAUCCUAGGGAAUCCAUCUUUUUACGAAAUGUAACGUAAAGGCGGAUUGUUCGAUCCU